rnacentral:sRNA from 1 species
CACGAAGGAACGCAGACUAAGAACGCCACAUCCUCCCAAAAAGCUGCCGCUUUCGGAUGUGCGAUCGCUGCCGCAACUUUCCUUGACCUGCGGCAACGUCUGCAUGACCCCCAUCGUGGGGC